UGGUUACCGCAUCGAUGAAGAACGCAGCAAAAUGCGAUAAGUAAUGUGAAUUGCAGAAUCUAGUGAAUCAUUGAAUCUUUGAACGCACAUUGCACUUGGAUUACCGUCCAAGUAUGCCUGCCCGAGCGUCAUUUCAACCAGACAGCUUAUCGCUGACGUUGGGGGAUCGUCCCACCAGACGCCCCUAUAAGAGAUCGUCUGACAGUCCCACAAUGGAGGCCUGCAUCGUAGACACAUUGCAAGACCGCCGUCGUCAAGGUCCGUCCAGACCCAUCACAUCUUCAGAUUGACCUCGGAUCAGGUAGGGAUACCCGCUGA
rnacentral:misc_RNA from 1 species